rnacentral:rRNA from 1 species
GAUGGACGCUGGCGGCGUGCCUAAUACAUGCAAGUCGAGCGAAUGGAUUAAGAGCUUGCUCUUAUGAAGUUAGCGGCGGACGGGUGAGUGACACGUGGGUAACCUGCCCAUAAGACUGGGAUAACUCCGGGAAACCGGGGCUAAUACCGGAUAACAUUUUGAACAGCAUGGUUCGAAAUUGAAUGGCGGCGGCUGUCACUUAUGGAUGGACCCGCGUCGCAUUAGCUAGUUGGUGAGGUAACGGCUCACCAAGGCAACGAUGCGUAGCCGACCUGAGAGGGUGAUCGGCCACACUGGGACUGAGACACGGCCCAGACUCCUACGGGAGGCAGCAGUAGGGAAUCUUCCGCAAUGGACGAAAGUCUGACGGAGCAACGCCGCGUGAGUGAUGAAGGCUUUCGGGUCGUAAAACUCUGUUGUUAGGGAAGAACAAGUGCUAGUUGAAUAAGCUGGCACCUUGACGGUACCUAACCAGAAAGCCACGGCUAACUACGUGCCAGCAGCCGCAGUAA